UGGGCCCUUUUAAAUCACCUAAGCACCUGGGUGAUUCCCGCUCCCGGUCAGCAGGCCUGUUCAGUUCUCAUUUGUAAGGUCAUUGUAACAAGCAAUUGUUUUUAAAUGAAAGUUUAAAUUCUUCAAAAACUGAUGCAUAAGGCUUCACGCUCACCCCAGGCAAAUGGAUUUUUCAAGCCCUGCACCUGAUUAGCUAGCCUACAGAUUGCCUGAGAACAGCAGUCCCUAUGUCAGCCAACGUGGCAGAUAACAUGCUUUUUUCCUCAUUUCCAAAGGAAUUAUGGCUUCAUUAGGCUGCUACAAAGCAGAUACCCCCCCAAAGCAGUGUGGUCUAGUGGACUGGGCACUUGUGCAGGAGUUGGGAAACCCGAGUUCUAGGUCUAGGUCUGGCAUUGCUACUGAUCUACUGUGUUACCUUGGGCAAGUCACUUCAAUUCUCUGUGCUUCUGUUUUUCCUCCUACCUCUGUCUGUUUUCUUUGUUUGGAUUGUAAACUCUUCAGGGCAGGGAAUGUCAUCCACUGUUUAUUUGUACAGUGCCCAAUGGAACGGGGUUUCUACCUUGAUUGGAUCACCUAAGAUUCUAAAUAAUAAUGAGCCUAGAAGUGAUUUCCAGCAAAUCUCCCACUGAAAAUAACAGAUUUACCUGGCCAAGAGGAGAUCCAUAUGUCAGUGCCACUAACACCAAGGAAGAUUCCAGAACCUUGACAGUAUUGAAGUAGAGUUGGAGGCAACCCUUGGGACUCAAAGGGUUAACUCCUGCUCAGAGUUCUCCACCCAGGCGACUAGGAAGAGAGGCAAUGAUCUAAAGCAGAGCCUGCUUAACUAAGCAUGGAGAAGCUAAAAAGUCAGAACAGGCUGACUCUAACUCAUAGAACCAUUGAAGAAGGAUGCCUUGAGGUGAAGAGUUCUCAGAUUGGGAUGCAGCAGUCAACCAGUGUCCUGCAAGAGGAGUGGAGGAAUGAUUGGAGGAUUUAUUUCUGGACAGAAAGCUAGGUGAAGCAGAUUGCAGUUACCGUUGGCACCAAUCGGAGGAAGGGAACUUCCAUACCUACACUGUGAUGAUUUCUCCACCAGUUUGGGGAGUGUUUUACCUGUUGGGGAACCGAUACCUAUUGGUAUAAGCUGUGUCUGCUUGGUUCCAGGAGAGCCUCAUUCAGAGGGCAGAUGACUCUGGAUGGAGUUGCAGAGUGGAGAAUAUCCAACCAUUUGGGUUGUGAUUCUUUGAUUUGUUGAGAGGUAUCUGUAGGUUGUCUGUCACCUGUUUGACAAGUUCUUGGAAUUGCUGAAAAUCAUCAUCCAUAGAAAGAGAAGGAUACAUUACCACCUCAUCAGGUGAUGAGAACAAGAUGGUAGUCUGAGGGGUAACUUCUUUGCCUGCCCUAGCCUCUUGAUCCACAAACAUAUCCUGUUGAAUGAUGUGUUGGGAAGGAAAAUUUUGUGCCUCCCUAUCAUUCUGAUGAGACAGGGUUGGGGGCCUGGAGAAUUGUUGGUGAUAACUGCCCCUGGGUCCCAAUAUGGCCAUUGAGGUUUAUAUGGGGGUGAGGGUGGCAGCUAAGGUUGCUGCCACCAAGCAACAUGUGCUCAGCUGAAGUAAUCCCUGUCUCCUCCAUGGCUCUUGAUACUGGCAAGCAAUGGAGACUCUGGAUCAGCAGUCACCGAUAAAUUCAUUAGGUACCUCAAGUGUUGCGGUACUGCAUGUAGUUGUGGCGCUGACUGUAGUCACGGAGCCGAGCGGACAGUGUGCUUCUCCCUGACAGAUGGUACCGAAGGCUUUGAGCACUCUGAGGUAGCUACUGAUGUAGACAGGGGCUUGGUCACAUGUGGAACUGAAGAGCCUGUUACAGGAGAUACAGGAAGAGUCAUUAUGUCCGACGGUACUGCUUUUCUAUGCCCAUCUCUUCCAGACGGCACAAGUGCCUUCUUGGAACUAGGUUUUCUGUUAGAGCUACAGGGUCUCUCUAACCCACCAGUACUGGAGAAACCCUUAGCCUCUGUGGUACUAUGCCUCAAGGUGAAGGCUUCCAAAUCCAUUGAUUUGCUUGGAGAGCAAAGUCUUUUCAAGGUGGACUCAUUAAAAGGUGUGUUAGAGCUUCUCUUCUUUGGACAUUUAGAGGAGGUCUCUGAACCCUUCCCCUUUCUAGGGGAGUGCUGGGCCAAGGUCAAUGGGGCACUAGGUACCCCCGGAGACUGAUGUACAGGGGGUUCUACUGACCUGGCUCCACACCAGGUUGAAGGGAAUGCUCCAUCAUUAACAGUCGCAGCUUGAUUUCCUGUUUCUUUCUUGUCCUGGAUUUGAGGGCUAAACAGAAGUUACAUUUCAGCAGAACACGGGCCUCUCCUAAACAGAGAACACACGUAGAGUAUCCGUCGCUGAAUGGGAUGGCCUCAUGUCAUGUGAGGUAGCGUUUAAAACACAGUGUACUGGGCAUGCCCUCUCUGGGAGGAAGGGCUCCCAUGAAGUCCUCCAAAUAAAAGUCAACAAACUAAUUAACUAACUAGAACUAAAUGAAUCUAAUCUAAUCUGAACUAACUAAAAUUACCAAAGGCAAAGUAGCUGACAUGCACUUGCUGCAGUCUCACUAAGGUACAUCUCAGGCACAGAUAGCUGAGAAGGAACUGAGGGCAGUUUGCCUGUGCAGCCCUAUAUAGCCUCGGUGUGGGGCACGAGGAUUUCUAGGGUACAUGCAUAGGCUGAAUGGAUAUCGCUAAUGAAAAUCUCUGGUCAAAGGUGCAUGGGGCUCACAUGCACCUGAAAUGGAGCACCCAUAGGGACACUACCUGAAGAUGAAAAAUAAGUUCCUCUUCAGAUGAAAAUUAGUUUGCAUUUAUGUUGCUUUAAUUUUCUUUUAGAGAUGAUAAUCCUCAUAGUAUUUAUACUUUGAAACAUUUCUUAUUUUAUUUAAGACUUUAUGUUGAAAGGUGGAUAAAUUAAUCACAACUAUGUUCCCCACAAUUGAAAGAAUAACUUUUGGUUACAGUGUAAUCUCAUCUUGAAAAGAAACCUCCAAUUUGUUAUUUCAAAAUAAAAUAGACUGUACCAUUUUAACCUUAGAAUCAAAUUUACUUUUCACCUGAAUUUUAAAAGUGAUCAACUUUCCCCCUCUUCUGUUGGCCUAGUUUAAUCUCUGAAAAGCUCCAUCUUUAUUGGUUUGGAGGAUUGAAAAUCUCCUAGAGUUAAAAAUUCAUUAACCUUUCUAUCUUCCUUCACCCUGCAUGGUGCUCUCCUUGUCUAGAGCUGCCCUCUGCUGAUAAAUGUUUGAACUACAUAUUUCAAAUUUCAGCCAAUCUAUUGAAAAGUCAAGUGAAAUGAAUACAAACAAUUUAGAGCUUGAUUCUAUAGGGUGCCGACCGCCUUCAAAAUCCAGGGAGUCCAAGAGAGUUGGAGGUGCUCAGCACCACCCAAAAUAGCAAUCUGCCGCUUGGAGGACUGACCCCUAAAUUAUUAAAUAAAAAUAUUUGUCCUAUAUACUUUACUUGAAUUUAUACACAUUAAAUAUCUGCACUAGAACUUGCCAGUUUUUUCUGAAGUUGUUAAUCACUUACACUUAUCUGUCUGCUAAAGUUAGGGCUUCAAUAGUCCUUUCCCAAUGAAACCACACUGUUAUUUCCAAGGACAUAUUCUCUUGCAUUGUUCUGCAUAAUAUUCUGUUGUAUAAAUGCAUAUAUGAUUACAUGUCAGCCAUACAGGAAUAAUUUAGAUUGUCUGUGAAGCAUAGAUCAGUCAGUUUAAAGAGACACCAUUGUUCUGAUUCUCUUCUUACAUUGGUUUAACUUCAUUUCCUUUGAUGGAAUUACUACUGAUCAUUAAUGUUGGGGAGACUAGAAUCAAACUCAUAGUUUGAUUGACUCUUAAAUUAAAUCUGCUUAUAGUCACUCUAAUAUUCAGAAAAUCCUGCAGUCAUUUAUUUCCAACUAUCGCCUCCUUCCAAAAAUUCUCCCACCUUCCUAUUACCUCCCUCCCUUUCGACACAGGAAUUUGAUUUCAAUGGGAGUUAGGUGCCUAAGCACCUUUGAGGAUCGGGGCCUAGCUGUCUUCUUCAAAGAUCAGUUCCAUUCUCCUUCUCCACUAUUCUUUCCAUAGGCACCCUCCCCAUCCCCCUCUGCCCUCCCGCCUGCUGGUGGGCUCUGCCGAUCAGCUCCUCCACCUCUUGCCCAGUGGUGAUCAGUUGUUCAGUGGCAUGCAGGAGGCGCUGGGGGGGAGAGGGGAGGAGCGGGGUCAGGAAGAGGCGGGGCUGGAGUCCAACACCCCUGGGGAAAUCACAAAAUCGGCACCUCUGACUCUUUCCUCCAACAAACUCUCUCCCCUGUCACUAAGGUUUCUUGUGCCUUCUCCUGCAUCCCCUCUACCCCUCCUCUCUUGCUUCCUAACCUGACCUCUGAUUCAUAGAUUAUAAAGCCAGAACAGACCGUUGUGAUCAACUGGUCUGACCUCCUGCAUAACACAGGCCAUAGGACUACCCUGCAUUAAUUUCUGUUUGAACAAGAGCAUCUCUUUUAG